rnacentral:lncRNA from 1 species
GCAGACUACCCUAACCCCACAGAGCCAGAGACCCAACUCUAACCCAGCCAGCUACCCUAACCCCACAGAGCAGAGACCCAACCUUAACCCAGCCAGCCAGCUACCCUAACCCCUAACCCCACAGAGCCAGAGACCCAACUCUAAUCCAGCCAGCUACCCUAACCCCACGAGCCAGAGACUCACCUCUAACCCAGCCGCUACCCGAACCCACAGAGCCAGAGACCCAACUCUAACCCAGUCAGCUACCCUAACCCCUAACCCCAUAGAGCCAGAGACCCAACUCUAACCCAGCCAGCUACCCUAACCCCACAGAGCCAGAGACCCAACUCUAACCCAGUCAGCACCCCUAACCCCUAACCCCAUAGAGCCAGAGACCCAACUCUAACCCAGCCAGCUACACCUAACCCACAGAGCCAGAGACCCAACUCUAACCCAGCCAGCUACCCUAACCCCACAGAGCCAGAGACCCACCUCUAACCAGCCAGCUACCCUAACCCCUAACUCCACAGAGCCAGAGACCCAACUCUAACCCAGCCAGCCAGCUACCCUAACCCCACAGAGCCAGAGACGCAACUCUAACCCAGUUAGCUACCCUAACCCACGAAGCCAGAGACCCAACUCUAACCCAGCCAGCUACCCUAACCCCAUAGAGCAGCAGAGAGACCCAACUCUAAACCAGCCCCAGCCAGCUACCCUAACCCCACAGAGCCAGAGACGCAACUCUAACCCAGUGCUACCCUAACCCCACAGAGCCAGAGACCCAACUCUAACCCAGCCAGCUACCUAACCCCACAGAGCCAGAGACCCAACUCUAACCCAGCCAGCUACCCUAACCCCACAGAGCCAAAGACCCACACUCUAACCCAGCCAGCUACCCUAACCCCAUAGAGCCAGAGACCCACUCUAACCCAGCCCCAGCCAGCUACCCUAACCCCACAGAGCCAGAGACGCAACUAACCCAGUUAGCUACCCUAACCCCACAGAGCCAGAGACCCAACUCUAACCCAGCCAGCUACCCUAACCCCUAGAGCCAGAGACCCAACUCUAACCCAGCCCCAGCCAGCUACCCUAACCCCACAGACCAGACGACGCAACUCUAACCCAGUUAGCUACCCUAACCCCCAAGAGCCAGAGACCCCCAACUCUAACCCA